UACGUAGGGUGCAAGCGUUGUCCGGAAUUAUUGGGCGUAAAGAGCUCGUAGGCGGUUUGUUGCGUCGGCUGUGAAAUCCCGAGGCUCAACCUCGGGUCUGCAGUCGAUACGAGCAAACUAGAGUGUUGCAGGGGAGACUGGAAUUCCUGGUGUAGCGGUGAAAUGCGCAGAUAUCAGGAGGAACACCGGUGGCGAAGGCGGGUCUCUGGGCAACAUCUGACGCUGAGGAGCGAAAGCGUGGGGAGCGAACAGG
rnacentral:rRNA from 1 species